AGAGGAGAAAGAGGAGGGGGUUCCUGGCUCAGAGAGGAACUGCAGCGCGCAUGGAGAGCAUCCAAGUAAUAAAUGAAUAAAUACGGCACAUGAAAAGUCCAGUGUCCAGCCAGCAAUCCUGUAAAUUUGGGAGAUGCAGUGGUUCCAUUGGUGACCAGAUCCAGUAGCAGAGUCCACUAGAACCAGCAGCAAUAGUCACAGGCGUUGGAAGAUAAUUGAAUAACUCUGAGAGGGAUAUGUCUAGGAAGUAUACUUAUGAGCACAAGGAAGUUGGAAGAGGUUGUAAAUUAGAAGCUCAGCUAUCUGGCUCAUCAGCAGAUAGAUUUAUCUAAGAAAUGUCUCACCUUGUGAGUAAUCAGCUCAGCAGAGAGAUAUCCAUCCAUCCAUCCAUUUACCUAUCUAUCUAUUUAUCUAUCAUCUAUGUAUCUAACUACCUAUCUAUCUAUGUACCCCACUCACAAUGAACUUCAUGAGAACAGGAAAAAAAAAAAA